rnacentral:rRNA from 1 species
CAGUAGCCGCGGGAAUACGUAGGUGGCAAGCGUUGUCCGGAAUUAUUGGGCGUAAAGCGCGCGCAGGCGGCCUAUCCAGUCUGUCUUAAAAGUUCGGGGCUCAACCCCGUGAUGGGAUGGAAACUAGUAGGCUAGAGUAUCGGAGAGGAAAGCGGAAUUCCUAGUGUAGCGGUGAAAUGCGUAGAUAUUAGGAAGAACACCAGUGGCGAAGGCGACUUUCUGGACGAAAACUGACGCUGAGGCGCGAAAGCCAGGGGAGCGAACGGGAUUAGAUACCCCCGUAGUCCCUGUCUCUUAUACA